CUGGUAGUGGGGGAUAACGUCCGGAAACGGGCGCUAAUACCGCAUACGUCCUGAGGGAGAAAGUGGGGGAUCUUCGGACCUCACGCUAUCAGAUGAGCCUAGGUCGGAUUAGCUAGUUGGUGGGGUAAAGGCCUACCAAGGCGACGAUCCGUAACUGGUCUGAGAGGAUGAUCAGUCACACUGGAACUGAGACACGGUCCAGACUCCUACGGGAGGCAGCAGUGGGGAAUAUUGGACAAUG
rnacentral:ncRNA from 1 species